GCCUAAACUUCAGCUAAAUAGCACCACAAAACUACUUCAACCAACCAUACCAAAACAUUUGUGUGAUUAGUAAAUGAGAUUAAAACCCCACACUAGCCUAACAAGUACCGCAAGGGAAAAGUGAAAUAAUAAUGAAAUACUUAAGCAAAAUAAAGCAAAGAUAAACUCUUGUACCUCCUGCAUCAUGGUCCAGCAAAUUCCAUGUAAACAAAGAGAUCUUUAGCUUAAUUACCCGAAACUAAGCGAGCUAUUUCUGGGCAGCAUCACAGAGCACACCCGUCCCUGUAGCAAAAGGGUGGGAAGACCUAGAAAUAGAGGUAAAAAGCCAACCGAGCAUAGUGAUAGCUGGCUACUCAACAAAAGAAUUUUAGUUCAACCUUAGAUGUCCGCAGGAAACGCCUCAUAAACCCAAACCACCCACCUAAGGAGAGUCAAUGGAGGUACAGCCCCAUUGACCCGGAAUACAGCCCGAACUGAGAGAAAACACUUAACUCUUCCACAAGUAGGCCCCAAAGCAGCCACCAUAAAACUGCGUUAUAGCUCUUAUUAUAACCAAUCUUAUCAACUAGAUUUUUCUCCAACCAUAAAUUGAGUCACUUUAUACAACUAUAAAAGAACUAAUGCUUGAACUAGUAAUACGAAAGAUUCUCUAUGCAUGACCUUAAGUCAGACCUGAAACACUACUGAUAGUUAACAGAUAUAAAACUAAUACUUUUUCGACAAUAUUGUAUUAUAACCCCCUGUUACUCCGACACAGGAAUGCAAAAAAGAAAGGAAAACCCCUGCAAAAGGAACUCGGCAACCUUCAGUCUCAACUGUUUACCAAAAACAUAGCCUUUAGCCCUACAAGUAUUAAAGGUCCCGCCUGCCCAGUGACCCGCUUUUAACGGCCGCGGUAUCCUAACCGUGCAAAGGUAGCAUAAUCACUUGUCCUCUAAAUAAGGACUGGAAUGAACGGCUAAAUGAAGACUAAACUGUCUCUUGCAGGCCACCUAUAAAACUGAUCUCCUAGUCAAAAAGCUAGGAUUUUAACACAAGACGAGAAGACCCUGUGGAGCUUAUAAACCAAACUCAUGACAUGACCCCUUGGUUUUUAGUUGGGGCGACUUCGGAGUACAAAAAAUCCUCCGACUAACUAUCCAGAUAAACGUAUCAAAUAUUUGUUCCGACCCAGUAGCUCAAUGCUAACUGACUAACGAACCAAGUUACCCCAGGGAUAACAGCGCUAUCCUCUUUUAGAGUUCUUAUCGACAGGAGGGCUUACGACCUCGAUGUUGGAUCAGGACACCCCAAUAGUGCAACCGCUAUUAAUGGUUCGUUUGUUCAACGAUUAAAGUCCUACGUGAUCUGAGUUCAGACCGGAGAAAUCCAGGUCGGUUUCUAUCUGUGACAAAACUAUUCCUAGUACGAAAGGACCGGAAUAGUGAGGCCAAUGCCAGAAGCACGCCUCAUCUAAAUCCAUUGACCACACUAAAACGGAAUUAGCCACACCACCUUUACUCAAAUAUGGGUU
rnacentral:rRNA from 1 species